rnacentral:rRNA from 1 species
CGCGUAGGCGGCCUUCUAAGUCGAACGUGAAAUCCCUGGGCUCAACCCAGGAACUGCGUCCGAUACUGGAAGGCUUGAAUCCGGGAGAGGGAUGCGGAAUUCCAGGUGUAGCGGUGAAAUGCGUAGAUAUCUGGAGGAACACCGGUGGCGAAGGCGGCAUCCUGGACCGGUAUUGACGCUGAGGCGCGAAAGCCAGGGGAGCAAACG